AUCAGUAAGGUCUUCUGUUAAUCAGAAUUAGAUAAUAAUAAGAGCUUGGAAAUCAGUGUACAGUGUUGCUACUGAUUAGAAAGAAGAUACUGUAUGUUGAAGUAAUUGCAGUAAACAGUUGAAAUGGAAAAAAAAAAAAACAGUUUCAGCCAUAAACCUCCCCACUUUCAGCUUGUUUCUAUCUCAGUCUGUUAAUUGCUUUAUUAAUUUAUUUAUUUGCAUUCUGUUAAAGCCUGAUGCUUACCACCUAGGUAAGCACUUCUCUGUGCUGGGUGCAGAGAAAAUAAAUCCUCUUUCCUGAAAGACAUCCUAAACCUCUGUGCCUCAUUUGUGUAGUUAACAGAACCUUUUGUGUAUCGUUGCAAUUUCAGGUACAGCCUUCCAUUGAAGUUGGCCCAGGCCACACACUGGGUUAAUAGCAGACCCAAAUUAUCCCUCAUGUCUUACCUCUCUAGAGCUUUUUGAAAAAAAAAAAAACCCAACCAUUCCUUUCAGCAGUGUUUGGGCACAGGCAUUUUUGCCUGAAUUUAAGGAGAGUCACGUGCCUUGAGUACAGGACCUGUGGGCUUACGGUAAAAUAAUAUUCACAUGUUAACAUUCUUCAGUGAGUAACAGAGUUUUCUCAUGGAUUAUAGAUUUCUGCUCCGUUUUACUAGUUCCAUAUUGCUGAAGCCUUUGAUGUUGGAGUGAAACCAUAAUGUUCAUGCUGAAUAUUAUACAUCCCUCCAGAACUCUGAGAUAAAGAUGACCUACCAGGUGCUAGGAACUGAUAAAGUUGAUUUAUUUUAUAACUUUGUGUGGACACACCUGACAGUAAAUGGAAGAUUGCUGGAUUGAAAAAAAAACAAACAGUUUCACACCAUCUGUGGGAUACGCAUGUGCACAGUGCAGUGGGAAGGGUCUGAGCAAGACCUUGUCCAGGUAAUGCAGUGCUCUGUGAAUGUUUUCCCAUGUUUCAAUCUGAGCUUUAAGAAUUGGUUUCAGUAGUUUAUAAGCCACUUGUUUGACUGCCAGAGCUUUGUACUGUGAGUGCUAAGACAGAUGCUUAAUUUCACAUGAUGGUGAGUUUUGCCCAAGCAAUUGCUAGGCUGGGUGCUGUAUGGGAAUACAUUCUGGCAGUGUGGGGGUAUAGAUAUUUUAGAUUGGAUACUAGAUACAACAUGAUUGUGCUUUUUACCUUCAGCUGCCUGAUAGACCAUCCUGUGGCUGCAUAGUCUACUAGCUCCUGAAUGUAUCCUGGUAACGUAAUGUUCAAUGUCUGGUGCUUGAACAACAUCAGUUAUGUUUGUAUGGCUUUGUGGCAUGUGGAUAGACACUAAGUCAAUGGUGAGACUUGGGUAGGAGAAAUAUUAUGCUUUUUCACCAUUGUGAUUCAGAAUCUUCUGCAUGUCAAGUAAUAGAUGGGAAUAUAAAAUAUUGAAUCUGCUCAUCUUUUAUGGCCUUGGCAAUAAUAAAAGAUCCCCUCUGUGUAAUGUUAGAGUGCUGAAAUAUAUAUUCAAUAUCUCCCAUAAAUUAGUUAGUGGGUUUUUGUAGAUGUUGAAUUCCAGUUUGAGAAAAGUAGAGGGGAAAAAAAGGAAUUACUUUUUGAACUUAAAAAUUUAUUCAUCCAAGUAAACGUUACAUCCACGUAUGCUUAUGUAACUCGGAUCAAUACUGUAACUUGUCUAUUUCUAAUAUCAGAAUGAUAGAGUGAACACUUUUGAAGAGUUGAAAUGCUAUUGAUUUACGCAGUCAGUACAAUUAAAAUAAAGUAAUUAGAACUCCUUAGGGGUCUGUUGGAGCUGUUUCGAAUGUGCUUCCUCUUGGGUAACAAGGAAUGAAAGAAUGACUGAUUAUGGAUGUGAUAGUCUGUGUACUCAUGCGUGCUGUUAAAAAUCAACUAAAACUUUUUGUUUUGAAACUGAAUGGUUGAAAAUGAUAAAAUGGUUGUAAGAGUUGCAUUAGAUUCCAGCAGAGAUGGAGUAGCAAAGCAAAUUAUUACCUGCUUUUAGAGAUGGGAAAAUUUAGUAUGGUUUAUGUUGAAUAUUGGUAGUGGCCAAGACUCGAAUGCAAGAUUGUGCAGCCCCUCAGCUUGUGCUGGGAACUGUAGCCUCAGAUUCUGCAUUUUCUUUUCCUUAUACUCCACAAUAAUACUGGGUGACCUAAGGGAAGCCACUUCCUAAAGCUGUUCAGAAAGAAAGUAAACACUGCAUAACAGCUGCAAUGAUACUGGUCUUGUGCUAGGGAAGAAAUGAAUCUACUUCAAUAAGAGUAUUUUAUGAAUUAAGAUCUUUCCAGAAUGAGUGCCUGAAAUGAGUUAUGAAAUUCUUUGUUACUCAAGAUUUUGGAACUAUGCAGUCUUCCCAUUCUGGGUGUUUCUUAAAUGAUUUCAUUGCAAGAGGAGCUCUUUCAGGAGAAUUUGUUCUUAGCAUUUGGAAAUUGUUUGAUCUUAAUUGGAAAUUUACCUCGAGAUAUGAGAUAAAAUAAGCUUACGAAUGAGAUGUCCUUGAAAAUAAAAUCAUUUGCACAGACGCUUGCAAACACGAUGCCCUUGCUUGCAAGUUGUGCAGAAGCUUGCAAAUUCCUUUCCACACGGUCUUUAUUAGGUGGAUUGGGAAGUCUGCAACCUCCAAGUUCUUCAGCUAGUUUUGAAAGGAGGAGGGACAAUGCGUCAGGAAGAAUAAAAAGGAGGCUGUGCUUUCUGAUGGUUUGAGGGAAAAGGUCCCCAGUUGGUUCUCCCUUUGUCUGAAUAAAGAAAGCUAAAGACUCUCCUCUGUUUCUUUUUGGGAUUGUAUGGGAACUGCUGAGUCACGGCCUGAACCGCUGAUUGACCAUCUGGAGACAAGAGCCGGUCAGCCCUGGGAGCACAGGUGAAGGCAAUUCAGCUGUGCGACUAGAAGGAGAGCCUGCCUGCACCUCUUUUGGACUUCAUUUAAGGGCUGACUGCCACUGUGGAAGGAUCUUUUGUUGGCGAUCCUUCCUUUGUGGAGUUUCUACUGCAGGCCUAGAACCUUGGAGACAGGAGCUCGUCCUCCUGUCGCCUGAGUUACAUUCCGGAGGGCAGAGCUGGAAGUCAUAUCAGAAACGAAAUACAAAACGUGUUAUGGGACAUGGAGGAGAUCGUGGAGAGGGCACGGACGUGGCGCUGGGUCCUGGAUUCAGAGCUCAUCCUAUAAAUAAACUCUUGGCUACAAGAAAGCAGGCUUCAAAAUGCUUAAAUUCUCAGAAACCAUCAAUCACACAUUUCAACAAACACAGGAAGACAGUGGCAUAUUUGCAAGAGGAAUUGCUGGAUGAAUUAUGAAGCUGAACUUACUUGGAGCACUUUGAUAUCUUCA
ensembl:lncRNA